GGCAGUUCACAUUUCAAGUCAAAAUGUCCAACUAAACCUAAUGAUCAUAUGGCUUUGAUGGUAUAACUUUGCUAGUACUCAAAUAUUUAUAUAGAUGGUUGAGGUUGACAGUGCAUAUGGUAAUGACUUGUCAUUGCAGAAAACCAUAAAUAGACCAAAGGUACUUGAUCCAAUGCUUUAAUAGUUCUACACUUACAAUGUCAAUAGUAUAAGAUAUUUUAAAGGUUUUUUUUUUUUUUUAAUACUUCAUAUUCUUUAAUAAAAGGCAAAAGAAUAGUUUGUCUUGUAUUCGCUGCACGGCUCUUAAUCUUUUUUGACAGGAGGUAAGGAUUACAAAGAAAUUUUGAAAGUUGAUAUCGUAGCUCGUAAAGUGUCAGAAAUCUGUUCCAUAUGUUAAAUGAGUAAUUUUUGUGUUAAGUAGUUUGGUGUUGGUCGUUAUCCAUUAAAUUAUUAGGUUUGUAAUUUUAUGAUCGCAAUUUG
rnacentral:lncRNA from 1 species